AGAGUUUGAUCCUGGCUCAGGAUGAACGCUGGCGGCGUGCUUAACACAUGCAAGUCGAACGAAGUUUUUAUCUGAGUCUUUCGGGGCGAAGGUAUUGACUUAGUGGCGGACGGGUGAGUAACACGUGAGUAACCUGCCUUUUGCUGGGGAAUAACUAUGGGAAACCAUAGCUAAUACCGCAUGACAUGUUCUGGAGGCAUCUUCGGAACAUCAAAGGAGAAAUCCGGCAGAAGAUGGGCUCGCGGCCGAUUAGGUAGUUGGUGGGGUAACGGCUCACCAAGCCAACGAUCGGUAGCCGGACUGAGAGGUCGAACGGCCACAUUGGGACUGAGAUACGGCCCAGACUCCUACGGGAGGCAGCAGUGGGGAAUAUUGGGCAAUGGGGGAAACCCUGACCCAGCGACGCCGCGUGAAGGACGAAGGUCUUCGGAUUGUAAACUUCUUAGGGGAGGGACGAAAAUGACGGUACCUCCAGAACAAGCCACGGCUAACUACGUGCCAGCAGCCGCGGUAAUACGUAGGUGGCAAGCGUUAUCCGGAUUUACUGGGUGUAAAGGGCGCGCAGGCGGUCUCGCAGGUCAGGUGUGAAAGAUCAAGGCUUAACUUUGACAGGUCAUCUGAAACCGCGGAACUUGAGUAUCAGAGGGGAAAGUGGAAUUCCUGGUGGAGCGGUAAAAUGCGCAGAUAUCAGGAGGAACACCGGUGGCGAAGGCGACUUUCUGGCUGACAACUGACGCUGAGGCGCGAAAGCGUGGGGAGCAAACAGGAUUAGAUACCCUGGUAGUCCACGCCGUAAACGAUGAUUACUGGGUGUAGGGGGUAUCGACUCCCUCUGUGCCGAAGCUAACGCGAUAAGUAAUCCACCUGGGGAGUACGGCCGCAAGGCUAAAACUCAAAUGAAUUGACGG
rnacentral:rRNA from 1 species